GGGAAAUCUUACCGGGUCCGGACACACUGAGGAUUGACAGGCAAUUAUUGUAUAUUUUUAUAUAUUUUUUUAUAUAUAUUUUAUGCAACAACAAAUUAUGCUAGUCCUUUCAUGAUUAUGUGAUAGGUGGUGCAUGGCCGUUCUUAGUUCGUGGAGUGAUCUGUCUGCUUAAUUGCGUUUCAUCUGGAUCAUAUAAUAAUAUGUACUUUUUAUUAUUACUUUAUAUUAUAUAUUUAUUUAUGUAUAUAUCGUAAUUUUAAUACUUAAGGUACUCGUGUCCUGAAAGCAACGA
rnacentral:rRNA from 1 species